CAAUAGCGUAUAUUAAAGUUGUUGCAGUUAAAAAGCUCGUAGUUGGAUUUGUGGCGUACGGUGUGUUCCGGGCACUUGUUGUCUGAGUAACCUGCUGUUGCCAUCCUUGGGUGGAACCUGUGUGGCAUUAGGUUGUCGUGCAGGGGAUGCCCAUCAUUUACUGUGAAAAAAUUAGAGUGUUCAAAGCAGGCUUAUGCCGUUGAAUAUAUUAGCAUGGAAUAAUGAGAUAGGACUUUUUUGCUAUUUUGUUGGUUUGCGCAAGAAGGUAAUGAUUAAUAGGGACAGUUGGGGGUAUUCGUAUUCCAUUGUCAGAGGUGAAAUUCUUGGAUUUUUGGAAGACGUACUACUGCGAAAGCAUUUACCAAGGAUGUUUUCAUUAA
rnacentral:rRNA from 1 species